CCUACGGGAGGCAGCAGUAAGGAAUAUUGGACAAUGGUCGCAAGACUGAUCCAGCCAUGCCGCGUGAAGGAUGAAGGCCCUAUGGGUUGUAAACUUCUUUUGUAUGGGAAAAAACCCUUCUACGUGUAGAAGGCUGAUUGUACCAUAAGAAUAAGGAUCGGCUAACUCCGUGCCAGCAGCCGCGGUAAUACGGAGGAUCCAAGCGUUAUCCGGAUUCAUUGGGUUUAAAGGGUGCGUAGGCGGAAUGAUAAGUCAGUGGUGAAAUCCUGCAGCUUAACUGCAGAACUGCCAUUGAUACUGUCAAUCUUGAGUACAUUUGAUGUGGGCGGAAUGUGUCAUGUAGCGGUGAAAUGCUUAGAUAUGACACAGAACACCGAUUGCGAAGGCAGCUCACAAAACUGUAACUGACGCUGAGGCACGAAAGCGUGGGUAUCAAACAGGAUUAGAUACCCUGGUAGUCCACGCUGUAAACUAUGAUUACUCGAUGUUUGCGAUACACUGUAAGCGUCUAAGCGAAAGCGAUAAGUAAUCCACCUGGGGAGUACGCUCGCAAGAGUUGAAACUUAAUGAAUUGACCGG
rnacentral:rRNA from 1 species